UGGGGAAUAUUGCACAAUGGGGGAAACCCUGAUGCAGCGACGCCGCGUGAGUGAAGAAGUAUCUCGGUACGUAAAGCUCUAUCAGCAGGGAAGAAAAUGACGGUACCUGACUAAGAAGCCCCGGCUAACUACGUGCCAGCAGCCGCGGUAAUACGUAGGGGGCAAGCGUUAUCCGGAUUUACUGGGUGUAAAGGGAGCGUAGACGGCUGUGCAAGUCUGAAGUGAAAGCCCGUGGCUCAACCGCGGAACUGCUUUGGAAACCGUAUAGCUUGAGUACUGGAGAGGCAGGCGGAAUUCCUAGUGUAGCGGUGAAAUGCGUAGAUAUUAGGAGGAACACCAGUGGCGAAGGCGGCCUGCUGGGCUCUAACUGACGCUGAGGCUCGAAAGCGUGGGUAGCAAACAGG
rnacentral:rRNA from 1 species